GGAACUUUAGCUCAGACGGUAGAGCGGUGGUUUGAAAAUCCACAGGUCGCUGAUUCGAUUUCAGCAGGUUCCACCA
rnacentral:tRNA from 1 species